rnacentral:rRNA from 1 species
GACGAACGCUGGCGGCGUGCUUAACACAUGCAAGUAGGACGCAGUUGCGAACGGGUGAGUAACGCGUAGGUAACUGCCUCUUAGAGGGGGCUAACUAUUGGAAACUAUAGCCAAUACCGCAUACUAGUAGAUCGACCUGCGUUGUAGUAGCUAGUAGGUAGGGUAAUGGCCUACCUAGGCGACGAUACAUAGCCGACCUGAGGGGGAGAUCGGGCAGACUGGGACUGAGACAAGGCCCAGACUCCUACGGGAGGCAGCAGUAGGGAAUCAUCGGAAAUGGGGGGAAAGCUGGCCGAGCAACGCCGCGGGAGUGAAGAAGGUUUUCGGAUCGGAAAGCUCUGUUGUUAAGGAAGCGGUACUUAACCAGGAAGGGACGGCUAACUACGUGCCAGCAGCCGCGGUAAUUC